UUUAUUUUUGAUUCCGGUGUGCGAAACACAUAUAUACAUAUGUAGCAUUUUAUAACACAUUUUGCAUUACAUAUUAUUUGUGAACGCUGUAUCAAUAACUGUGGAAAAUAUAACGGAAAAUUGAGUGUGCUUGCUCUGUUAUAAUAAGUGUGAAUGCUCCUAUAUUUUGUUGCUUGAUGAUGCGACGGUUGUCGUUAAAUCGAUAAUAGAUAGAGAAUAUGAGUCGUUGAAAAUGAAAAAAACUUAGCUGACUCGGGUUUUCUCUUAGACGGUACGCAAUAUUUGUUAGCAGUGUAGCAGAAUUUUGACAGUACUGACAUUACGUGAGCCGUUUUGGAAUUCAUCUUCGCCGAUAUUUUCGGUAUUCAGUGCUUUGGAACUAAUCCUUCGUGGGUCCAGUUAUUAAAGUGGAGCUACAAUUAGUGGAGCAUUAGAGUUUGUGUGAAGCAAUGUUUAGCAAGGCAGCUCUAGCGUCAAAAUUCGAAAGACUAACUUUAAUCGAAAAUAAUACAAUGAUUUUAACCUGCGAAUACAGUAUAUAUCUACCCUUUUAAUCGAAAUAAGAACAUGUUGGUAACUAACGUGCGAUGACGAUUUCUACAUUUUUUUGGCUGUCUUCAAAUUGCACAGAAAGUGAAGGCACCCCAGCCGAAGAUACAAUUUUACGACCCGAACAAAACGAUGACAAGCACAACGAUGAAAGCAAACGACCAACAAGCAGGAAAACGGCCUUGUAACGUGCUUGUAGAUGAGCCCGCUUUUUCUCGGCUGGUGUGGGGUACAUGCGACCGCUUUUGCCGCGCCUCCCACGACUGCCGCGUCCACCACGGCCACCAGAAUCUGAGUCAGAAUCGGAAGAUUCUCCCACUCUGAAGUGGUAUAUCCGAGAAACGAAAGCAUUUAGGAAAAACGCGUGACUCUUAACCAUCACCUUUGCACUUAUAAACAUUAGUUGUUUAUUAGUCAAUGAUAUAAACGGGCCAUCUUCUUUCUCAUUUGCUCAAGCUCUGGAGUCACUGUAAAUUCGGGAUCGGUGGCUUGUGCUGAUGGAAGUGGAA